rnacentral:rRNA from 1 species
UGACUGGGGGAAGCGGCUGGUGCUGGACGCGGGGCGACCCGUGCAGGCUACCAGUGCGCAGAGUCGAGGGCUUCCCUCC